rnacentral:lncRNA from 1 species
AAAUCAAGGAGGCAACUUCGACUGUGAAAAUUUUUCUAUACUUCCUUCAUUCGAAAUCCGAACUCGAAAGUAGGGAGACUAGUGUUGGAUAUAAAAUAACCCCAGUCGAAGUUCGUAAAAGGCCAACCCUCUCAGGACUCUUCCGGCUUCCGAUCUUGUGCGGUAUUUUUCUGAACUCCUCCGACCGUCUGAGCUUUCACAGUACCAUCCGGACUCCUCCAGCAGUCGACCUUCCACAGUGUCCUCC